rnacentral:rRNA from 1 species
GAUGAACGCUGGCGGCGUGCCUAAUACAUGCAAGUCGAGCGAACGGACGAGAAGCUUGCUUCUCUGAUGUUAGCGGCGGACGGGUGAGUAACACGUGGAUAACCUACCUAUAAGACUGGGAUAACUUCGGGAAACCGGAGCUAAUACCGGAUAAUAUUUUGAACCGCAUGGUUCAAAAGUGAAAGACGGUCUUGCUGUCACUUAUAGAUGGAUCCGCGCUGCAUUAGCUAGUUGGUAAGGUAACGGCUUACCAAGGCAACGAUGCAUGGCCGACCUGAGAGGGUGAUCGGCCACACUGGAACUGAGACACGGUCCAGACUCCUACGGGAGGCAGCAGUAGGGAAUCUUCCGCAAUGGGCGAAAGCCUGACGGAGCAACGCCGCGUGAGUGAUGAAGGUCUUCGGAUCGUAAAACUCUGUUAUUAGGGAAGAACAUAUGUGUAAGUAACUGUGCACAUCUUGACGGUACCUAAUCAGAAAGCCACGGCUAACUACGU